rnacentral:rRNA from 1 species
GACGUAGGGGGCUAGCGUUGUCCGGAAUCAUUGGGCGUAAAGAGCGUGUAGGCGGUCCGGUAAGUCCGCUGUGAAAGUCGGGGGCUCAACCCUCGAAUGCCGGUGGAUACUGUCGGGCUAGAGUGCGGAAGAGGCGAGUGGAAUUCCUGGUGUAGCGGUGAAAUGACGCAGAUAGUCAGGGAGGAACACCGGUGGCGGAAGGCGGGUCUCUGGGC